GGAGAAAUGACCGAGUGGUUUAAGGUAUCGAUUUCGAAAAUCGACUUGAAAAAUUUAAAUUCAACGGGGGUUCAAAUCCCCCUUUCUCCG
rnacentral:tRNA from 1 species